ACAAGCGGUGGAGCAUGUGGUUUAAUUCGAAGCAACGCGAAGAACCUUACCAGGUCUUGACAUCCUUUGACCACUCUAGAGAUAAGACGUUCCCUUCGGGGACAGAAUGACAGGUGGUGCAUGGUUGUCGUCAGCUCGUGUCGUGAGAUGUUGGGUUAAGUCCCGCAACGAGCGCAACCCUUAUUAUCAGUUGCCAGCAUUCAGUUGGGCACUCUGGUGAGACUGCCGGUGACAAACCGGAGGAAGGUGGGGAUGACGUCAAAUCAUCAUGCCCCUUAUGACCUGGGCUA
rnacentral:rRNA from 1 species